CAAGUACUCCCUCCGUCCGGAAUUACUUGUCACCAAAAUGGAUGUGUCUAGAACUAAAAUACAUCUAGAUACAUCCAUUUCAAUGACAAGUAUUUUCGGACGGAGGGAGUACAAG
rnacentral:pre_miRNA from 1 species